GUAGGGGAGCGUUCUGUAAGCCUGUGAAGGUGGCCUGUGAGGGUUGCUGGAGGUAUCAGAAGUGCGAAUGCUGACAUAAGUAACGAUAAAGCGGGUGAAAAGCCCGCUCGCCGGAAGACCAAGGGUUCCUGUCCAACGUUAAUCGGGGCAGGGUGAGUCGACCCCUAAGGCGAGGCCGAAAGGCGUAGUCGAUGGGAAACAGGUUAAUAUUCCUGUACUUGGUGUUACUGCGAAGGGGGGACGGAGAAGGCUAUGUUGGCCGGGCGACGGUUGUCCCGGUUUAAGCGUGUAGGCUGGUUUUCCAGGCAAAUCCGGAAAACCAAGGCUGAGGCGUGAUGACGAGGCACUACGGUGCUGAAGCGACAAAUGCCCUGCUUCCAGGAAAAGCCUCUAAGCAUCAGGUAACAUCAAAUCGUACCCCAAACCGACACAGGUGGUCAGGUAGAGAAUACCAAGGCGCUUGAGAGAACUCGGGUGAAGGAACUAGGCAAAAUGGUGCCGUAACUUCGGGAGAAGGCACGCUGAUAUGUAGGUGAAGCGACUUGCUCGUGGAGCUGAAAUCAGUCGAAGAUACCAGCUGGCUGCAACUGUUUAUUAAAAACACAGCACUGUGCAAACACGAAAGUGGACGUAUACGGUGUGACGCCUGCCCGGUGCCGGAAGGUUAAUUGAUGGGGUUAGCGGUAACGCGAAGCUCUUGAUCGAAGCCCCGGUAAACGGCGGCCGUAACUAUAACGGUCCUAAGGUAGCGAAAUUCCUUGUCGGGUAAGUUCCGACCUGCACGAAUGGCGUAAUGAUGGCCAGGCUGUCUCCACCCGAGACUCAGUGAAAUUGAACUCGCUGUGAAGAUGCAGUGUACCCGCGGCAAGACGGAAAGACCCCGUGAACCUUUACUAUAGCUUGACACUGAACAUUGAGCCUUGAUGUGUAGGAUAGGUGGGAGGCUUUGAAGUGUGGACGCCAGUCUGCAUGGAGCCGACCUUGAAAUACCACCCUUUAAUGUUUGAUGUUCUAACGUUGGCCCGUAAUCCGGGUUGCGGACAGUGUCUGGUGGGUAGUUUGACUGGGGCGGUCUCCUCCUAAAGAGUAACGGAGGAGCACGAAGGUUGGCUAAUCCUGGUCGGACAUCAGGAGGUUAGUGCAAUGGCAUAAGCCAGCUUGACUGCGAGCGUGACGGCGCGAGCAGGUGCGAAAGCAGGUCAUAGUGAUCCGGUGGUUCUGAAUGGAAGGGCCAUCGCUCAACGGAUAAAAGGUACUCCGGGGAUAACAGGCUGAUACCGCCCAAGAGUUCAUAUCGACGGCGGUGUUUGGCACCUCGAUGUCGGCUCAUCACAUCCUGGGGCUGAAGUAGGUCCCAAGGGUAUGGCUGUUCGCCAUUUAAAGUGGUACGCGAGCUGGGUUUAGAACGUCGUGAGACAGUUCGGUCCCUAUCUGCCGUGGGCGCUGGAGAACUGAGGGGGGCUGCUCCUAGUACGAGAGGACCGGAGUGGACGCAUCACUGGUGUUCGGGUUGUCAUGCCAAUGGCACUGCCCGGUAGCUAAAUGCGGAAGAGAUAAGUGCUGAAAGCAUCUAAGCACGAAACUUGCCCCGAGAUGAGUUCUCCCUGAGACUUAGAGUCUCCUGAAGGAACGUUGAAGACGAC
rnacentral:rRNA from 1 species